rnacentral:rRNA from 1 species
ACUCAAAUGAAUAGACGGGGGCCCGCACAAGCGGUGGAGCAUGUGGUUUAAUUCGAUGCAACGCGAAGAACCUUACCAGGUCUUGACAUCCUUAGGAUUCGUAUGAAAGUAUGAAGUGCCCUUCGGGGAGCUAAGAGACAGGUGGUGCAUGGUUGUCGUCAGCUCGUGUCGUGAGAUGUUGGGUUAAGUCCCGCAACGAGCGCAACCCUUGCUAUUAGUUGCUAACAGGAAAGCUGAGCACUCUAGUGGGACUGCCGGUGACAAGCCGGAGGAAGGUGGGGAUGACGUCAAAUCAUCAUGCCCUUUAUGAUCUGGGCUACACACGUGCUACAAUGGAUGGUACAAAGAGACGCGAAACUGCGAAGUGAAGCCAAUCUCAAAAAGCCAUUCUCAGUUCGGAUUGUAGUCUGCAACUCGACUACAUGAAGUCGGAAUCGCUAGUAAUCGCGGAUCAGCAUGUCGCGGUGAAUGCGUUCCCGGGCCUUGUACACACCGCCCGU